GCGCAGCAGGCGCGAAUACUUUACAAUGUGCGAAAGCACGAUAAGGGAACUCUGAGUGCCUCCUAAGGAGGCUGUUCAGGUGUCUAAAAAGCACCUGGAGUAAGGGCUGGGUAAGACCGGUGCCAGCCGCCGCGGUAACACCGGCAGCCCAGGUGGUAGCCACUUUUAUUGGGUCUAAAGCGUCCGUAGCCGGUUGAGUAAGUUCCUUGGGAAAUUUGGCUGCUCAACAGUCAAGCUUCCAGGGAAUACUGCUCGACUUGGGACUGGGAGAGGUCAGAGGUACUCCAGGGGUAGGGGUGAAAAUCCAUUAAUCCCUGGGGGACCACCGGUAGCGAAGGCGUCUGACCAGACCAGGUCCGACGGUGAGGGACGAAGGCUAGGGGCGCGAACCGGAUUAGACUA
rnacentral:rRNA from 1 species